rnacentral:antisense_RNA from 1 species
CGGCGCUUGAGGCUUUUUGCUUCAGGCCGUCGGCAGAAGUGCGGAUUGUGUUGAGGCAGAAAGAAGAAAGCCCCGAAGGUCAUUUUAUUAACCAACGAGGCCUACUCUGCAUGCUCGACACAUCCAGAGUAGCCUCUUACCCGCCGAAAGGCAAGGAGACAACGCUAUGAAG